UUCCAUCUCGUGACUGCGUGCCUUUUGACGAAUGAGCCUGCGAGUUUGCGGUGUGUUGCGAGGUUAACCCGGGUGGGGAAGCCGUAGCGAAAGCGAGUCCGAAUAGGGCGUUUCAGUAGCACGCUCAAGACCCGAAGCGGAGUGAUCUAGCCAUGGGCAGGUUGAAGCGGAGGUAAGACUUCGUGGAGGACCGAACCCACCAGGGUUGAAAACC
rnacentral:ncRNA from 1 species